rnacentral:misc_RNA from 1 species
CAGUUAGGCCUCAGUCUCACCAUGAUCAGUCCCUCCCUGAAAAUAACAAUUUUGAAGAAGCUCCAGGUGUUGGGCAACAAGAGCCUAAGAGGGAAAUGAAGAUGGCCGCACACAGAGGACGUCCUGGUAGCCCUAUUGAAUCAUCAUCUUCUAAUAUGGAUGUUAGGCAUGACCAACACAUGUCUUCAGGUUUCCGCAAAUAUGGAAAUCAAAAUAGCCGUUUUGGUAGAGACCAUGAAUCUCGUGGAG